rnacentral:lncRNA from 1 species
UCCUAGGAGGAUGUAAAUUCCCUCUCUUUACAAUGCAAUGAAACGCAAAAGCCAUUUGCAUUUUCUCGAAAAAAAACUGAAGGCCAAGGUAGAUUCCUCAAUGUACAUAUUGUUUGCACUUUCUAAGUACUGAAGUAUGUAUAUUUUAGAUAAAGUAGCAUUUGCUAGUAGAGAUCAUGGUUGGGUCAACAUAUAUUUCCACUGAACAUUGGCAUAUUUAGAGCUUUCUAUAUAUUUUAUAUUUUCUUUCAGCGAGUUUUUCUGAAGAUGUGUCAAUGUUCAGCCUGGAGAAUGUUCAUGUAAAGGCCAGUACACAAGCAUGUCUACUUUACCAUAUGGAUGGUGGAUUUACAGGACAAAUUUAUGCACUAGCUUUGAAUUCCAUGACGUUGCACGGACUAUGUGGAACCCACUGAUUCAUAGUGAUGUAUUUUCUUCGAGAAAGAGAGGACUGUGCAAUCAGAAGUACAAUAUGUGAUCAUCAAGUGUAAGAGAUGGCAAGAAUAUGUGGUAUGUAUUUCAGUCUGCGUACUAACGAAGUGUAUUGACUGUUCAUGCUGCUAUAAUAAGCUCGAUGAUUUACUAUGGAAACAUAAAAACACUUAAGAAGCAUCUUAAUUUUUAUGUACUGAGAUUUUA